rnacentral:rRNA from 1 species
GUGAAAGCCCACAGCUCAACUGUGGAAUUGCGUUGGAUACUGUUAUUCUUGAGUGUAGUUGAAGUAGGCGGAAUAUAGCAUGUAGCGGUGAAAUGCAUAGAUAUGCUACAGAACACCAAUUGCGAAGGCAGCUUGCUAAACUAUAACUGACGCUGAGGCACGAAAGCGUGGGGAGCGAACAGGAUUAGAUACCCUGGUAGUCCACGCCGUAAACUAUGAACACUCGCUGUUGGCAAUACACAGUCAGCGGCUGAGCGAAAGCGUUAAGUGUUCCACCUGGGAAGUACGAUCGCAAGGUUGAAACUCAAAGGAAUUGACGGGGGCCCGCACAAGCGGAGGAGCAUGUGGUUUAAUUCGAUGAUACGCGAGGAACCUUACCUGGGCUUAAAUGUAUAUUGACGUACUGAGAAAUCAGUAUUUCUUCGGACAAUUUACAAGGUGCUGCAUGGUUGUCGUCAGCUCGUGCCGUGAGGUGUCGGGUUAAGUCCCAUAACGAGCGCAACCCCUACUUCUAGUUACCAGCAUUUCGGAUGGGGACUCUAGAGGAACUGCCUACGCAAGUAGAGAGGAAGGUGGGGAUGACGUCAAAUCAGCACGGCCCUUAUGUCCAGGGCUACACACGUGCUACAAUGGCCGGUACAGAGGGCAGCUACAUAGCAAUAUGAUGCUAAUCUCAAAAGCCGGUCUCAGUCCGGAUUGGAGUCUGCAACUCGACUCCAUGAAGCUGGAUUCGCUAGUAAUCGCACAUCAGCAAUGGUGCGGUGAAUACGUUCCCGGGCCUUGUACACACCGCCCGUCAAGCCAUGGAAGUUGGGGGUACCUGAAGUCGAUUGCCGUAAGGCGUUGCCUAGGGUAAACCAAUGACUGGG